CCUACGGUGUGCUGCAGUGGGGAAUAUUGGACAAUGGGCGAAAGCCUGAUCCAGCCAUGCCGCGUGUGUGAAGAAGGCCUUCGGGUUGUAAAGCACUUUCAGUGGGGAAGAAAGCCUUGGGGCUAAUACCCUCGAGGAAGGACAUCACCCACAGAAGAAGCACCGGCUAACUCCGUGCCAGCAGCCGCGGUAAUACGGAGGGUGCGAGCGUUAAUCGGAAUUACUGGGCGUAAAGCGCGCGUAGGCGGUCUGAUAAGCCGGUUGUGAAAGCCCCGGGCUCAACCUGGGAACGGCAUCCGGAACUGUCAGGCUAGAGUGCAGGAGAGGAAGGUAGAAUUCCCGGUGUAGCGGUGAAAUGCGUAGAGAUCGGGAGGAAUACCAGUGGCGAAGGCGGCCUUCUGGACUGACACUGACGCUGAGGUGCGAAAGCGUGGGUAGCAAACAGGAUUAGAUACCUGGUAGUC
rnacentral:rRNA from 1 species